rnacentral:rRNA from 1 species
AGAGUGAACGCUGGCGGUAGGCCUAACACAUGCAAGUCGAACGGCAGCACGGUAAGAGCUUGCUCUUAUGGGUGGCGAGUGGCGGACGGGUGAGGAAUACAUCGGAAUCUACCUUUUGGUGGGGGAUAACGGUAGGGAAACUUACGCUAAUACCGCAUACGCCCUUCGGGGGAAAGCCGGGGACCAGCAAUGGCCUGGCGCUGAUAGAUGAGCCGAUGUCGGAUUAGCUAGGUUGGUGAGGUAAUGGCUCACCAAGGCGACGAUCCGUAGCUGGUCUGAGAGGAUGAUCAGCCACACUGGAACUGAGACACGGUCCAGACCUCCUACGGGAGGCAGCAGGUGGGGAAUAGUUGGACAAUGGGACGCAAGCCUGAAUCCAGCCGAUACCGGCGUGGGUGAGUGAAGGCCGUUUAGGGUGUAAAGGUCUUACGUUUUACCCGAGUAUCGAGUUAAU